ACACGACUACAUUAGAUACCCGGUAGUCCCAGCCCUAAACGAUGCGCGUUAGGUGUAUCGGUGACCACGAGUCACCGAGGUGCCGAAGGGAAACCGUGAAACGUGCCGCCUGGGAAGUACGGUCGCAAGGCUGAAACUUAAAGGAAUUGGCGGGGAGCACCACAACGGGUGGAGCCUGCGGUUUAAUUGGACUCAACGCCGGGAAGCUCACCGGAUAAGACAGCGGAAUGAUUGCCGGGCUGAAGACCCUGCAUGACCAGCUG
rnacentral:rRNA from 1 species